UCUCUGGUGGUCCAGUGGCUAAGACUCUGUGCUUCCAAUGCAGGAGAUUCAGUUUCAAACCCUGGUCAGGGAA
rnacentral:tRNA from 1 species